AUGUAUGGAUAAAAAAAAAUAUUUUACACGAUUACGAAAAACUAAAUAAAUUGAGAGAUGGUAUUUUGCGCCGCUAAUAAAUUAGGUUUAAAUGCGUAUGUAAUUUGCGCAAUGAUUAAAAAUAUAAUAUGUUAAUCUGUUGAAAAAAAUUAGUUCUUUUAAAGUGGCGCAAAUUACAAUUUGGAUAGACACGAAAUUACAUAUUUUCAGCAAAAAAAAUGUCGCAUUGAUCGUACUGACGAUCAGAACGAGAUACAAUACAUAUGCAUAUAAAUAAAAUUUCCGAUUUUUAAAUAGUCAACAAAAUGAAAUUGUUAAAAAAAGAAAUACUAAAGAAACAUUAAAAAAUUGAUAGAGGGGCAUUAAACUCACGAAAGUCGAGUCGACCGAAGUCGCCCCAACAGGGAACUCG